UGUAUUUAUUAGAUUAAAAACCAAUGCCCUUCGGGGCUCCUUGGUGAUUCAUAAUAACUUAACGAAUCGCAUGGCCUUGUGCCGGCGAUGGUUCAUUCAAAUUUCUGCCCUAUCAACUUUCGAUGGUAGUAUAUGGGACUACCAUGGUUUCAACGGGUAACGGGGAAUUAGGGUUCUAUUCCGGAGAGGGAGCCUGAGAAACGGCUACCACAUCCAAGGAAGGCAGCAGGCGCGCAAAUUACCCAAUCCCGGCACGGGGAGGUAGUGACAAUAAAUACUGAUACAGGGCUCUUUUGGGUCUUGUAAUUGGAAUGAGUACAAUUUAAAUCCCUUAACGAGGAACAAUUGGAGGGCAAGUCUGGUGCCAGCAGCCGCGGUAAUACCAGCUCCAAUAGCGUAUAUUAAAGUUGUUGCAGUUAAAAAGCUCGUAGUUGAACCUUGGGCCUGGCUGGCCGGUCCGCCUCACCGCGUGCACUGGUCCGGCCGGGUCUUUCCUCCUGGGGAGCCGCAUGCCCUUCACUGGGUGUGUCGGGGAAACCAGG
rnacentral:rRNA from 1 species